rnacentral:rRNA from 1 species
UACGAAGGGGGCUAGCGUUGCUCGGAAUCACUGGGCGUAAAGCGCACGUAGGCGGAUUGCUAAGUCAGGGGUGAAAUCCUGGAGCUCAACUCCAGAACUGCCUUUGAUACUGGCAACCUUGAGUCCGGGAGAGGUGAGUGGAACUGCGAGUGUAGCGGUGAAAUGCGUAGAUAUCGUAAGGAAGACCAGUGGCGAAGGCGGGUCUCUGGACAGUUCCUGACGCUGAGGCACGAAGGCCAGGGGAGCAAACGGG